rnacentral:misc_RNA from 1 species
GACGAGAUUAAUCCGUGCAGCAAACUCAUCAAUUCCAGCUUUAUUUUGCUGUUUUUUACUCCUAAGCACUGAAACCUUGGGUAUAUCCAUAGAGCUGCCAAAAUAACCUAUUCCAAAGGACGAGGAAGAAUAUACAGCUGCAACCUCAACAGCUUCCAGCCUAGCCAAACUGCCCCCAACCUAUGGACAAUGGAUUUCCUUACA